AUCUUCCUCUUCAUUUGUCGAUUUACAUCCGGAUAUCUUCCUCUUUAUCUGUUAGACUUACAUCCGAAUUAGCGUAUUAUAUGUACUAACCUUUGUGUAAUCUUUAACAGUUAAUUCACAACCACAUACUAUCGCAAAAUGACAAUUGAACAUGUUUCUUUUUUCUUAUCUGACUCAUGCUUCUUUUGAACAUAUGUCAGGACAUUGGCUCCAACUAUCUACAUAUUUUUGGUAUCGGCUCUUCCAGUAAUUGCUUUUGGAUAACAAUUGAGAAGAGAUAUAGUUUUUUGCGCAAGAAAUUGGAUUGGCGAAAGGUUCAUUAGAUUGUGCAUGCUGUUGUUCAAAUUCAGACUGAAGUGGCCGGCAUCAUGAGGAAGCAGAAGAAUUGGCAUUUGCUUUUGCAAGAUUUACACAAAUUCUUGCAGCUAUGCUAGAUUUGGAUAUCGAGAGCUUGGCAUUCGCUUUUGCAAGAUUUACACAAAAGGGAGGCUCCAAAAUCAAUUAUUACAUGGUAGCAUUUCUGAAAUUGGGAAUCAAUCUCAUUUUUUUUUCGUUUCGUGUCCUUCAAAAAUAUAAUUUAACUAUAAAAAUUACAUUAACAAUACACAUUGUUCUAUUGAUAGAAAAGGAAUCAAAUAAAAAUGGUAGAAUAUACUAAGACUCUAUGAAACAAAAAUGUCAUGAAAGUAGUAGUUUGCACUUGAAGGACAAAACAAUUUGUACAUUAUUAUCUAUUUGUGGAGUCACAGAUAUAUUACCACUUCGAAAUUACA